rnacentral:rRNA from 1 species
CAGCCGUAAACAAUGUGCGUUAGGUGUGUCGGUAACCACGUGUUACUGAUGCGCCGAAGAGAAAUCGUGAAACGCACCACCUGGGAAGUACGGUCGCAAGGCUGAAACUUAAAGGAAUUGGCGGGGGAGCACCACAACAGGUGGAGCCUGCGGUUUAAUUGGAUUCAACGCCGGACAUCUCACCGGAUAAGACAGCUGAAUGAUCGUCAAUCUGAAGGUUUUACAUGACUAGCUGAGAGGAGGUGCAUGGCGUCAGUGACU